rnacentral:sRNA from 1 species
AAGUUGUGCUAUGAUGAGAUCAUACAACUGAUUUUGUUACCUUUUCGAGGAGAUACUUGUUGGUGUUUUUGAGGACUCCUUCCUUUAAAUACAAAAAA